rnacentral:rRNA from 1 species
UCGGGAAUAUUGCGCAAUGGGCGAAAGCCUGACGCAGCCAUGCCGCGUGUGUGAAGAAGGCCCUAGGGUUGUAAAGCACUUUCAAUUGGGAGGAAAAGCUAAUGGUUAAUAACCAUUAGCCCUGACGUUACCUUUAGAAGAAGCACCGGCUAACUCCGUGCCAGCAGCCGCGGUAAUACGGAGGGUGCAAGCGUUAAUCGGAAUUACUGGGCGUAAAGCGCGCGUAGGCGGUUUUUUAAGUCGGAUGUGAAAGCCCCGGGCUCAACCUGGGAACUGCAUCCGAUACUGGAUCACUAGAAUGCGGGAGAGGGAGGUAGAAUUCCAUGUGUAGCAGUGAAAUGCGUAGAUAUAUGGAGGAAUACCAGUGGCGAAGGCGGCCUCCUGGCUCGACAUUGACGCUGAGGUGCGAAAGCGUGGGGAGCAAACGGG